rnacentral:rRNA from 1 species
AUUGAACGCUGGCGGCAUGCCUUACACAUGCAAGUCGAACGGUAACAGGUCUUCGGAUGCUGACGAGUGGCGAACGGGUGAGUAAUACAUCGGAACGUGCCUAGUAGUGGGGGAUAGCUACUCGAAAGAGUGGCUAAUACCGCAUGAGAUCUACGGAUGAAAGCAGGGGAUCGCAAGACCUUGUGCUACUAGAGCGGCCGAUGGCAGAUUAGGUAGUUGGUGGGAUAAAAGCUUACCAAGCCGACGAUCUGUAGCUGGUCUGAGAGGACGAUCAGCCACACUGGGACUGAGACACGGCCCAGACUCCUACGGGAGGCAGCAGUGGGGAAUGUUGGACAAUGGGCGCAAGCCUGAUCCAGCAAUGCCGCGUGCAGGAUGAAGGCCUUCGGGUUGUAAACUGCUUUUGUACGGAACGAAAAGCCCCGGGUUAAUACCCUGGGGUCAUGACGGUACCGUAAGAAUAAGCACCGGCUAACUACGUGCCAGCAGCCGCGGUAA